rnacentral:tRNA from 1 species
AACUUUUAGUUUAAUUAAGAAUGUUUCAUUUACAAUGAAAUGGUUUAUAAGUUUU